ensembl:lncRNA
GAAGUUUUCCAUGUAACAGGGGAAACAGGCAGCCCAGGAACCCAACUGCUCUCUGAAUAGCAGCCAUACCAUGAAUGAUUACUUGCUAUCUUCAUCUGUUGACAGAAUGAUUUGAAUUGAUUUAAAUAGUUCCCAGAUGGCUGGCUUAAUGCGUAAAUCUAAUAUGCACCCAAGAAUAAUCACCUCCUUACUGAUUUCUCAGUCUACCUAUCAUUUCUAAGCAGAUCCACGUCUCAGGCCCAGUGUGCAUGUUAGGUGAGUAACCACUUGAACUUUUGUUGAACUGCUGAUCCUCAGUCCACCUCUUCCUGUUACUAAGGAGAAAAUUACUGCUUCUGUUUAAUAAUAAUACUAUAAUAGCGGCAGUGAGCAGAAAUAGCUUUUCAUGUCUUGGUGUACCUUUAACUUAGGGUUGAAUGCCCUGGGAGACCUGCCAGCCAGUCACUGAAACUCGGUGUCUGCUCACACCAUCACACUUCUGACUAGUGAAGAAAGAAACAGAUGAUAAACAACCACAUGAAUUCUGACGCAGGUCUGACACGCUGGCAGGACUGUGCAGUGGAGCUUGCAAGGUCUUUGGGCAAAUACUGGAUAAAGAGCCAUCAUUCCUCUAGCCACUGUGGUGAGUGAAGACUUUACUGCACAAGAGGUGGCUGCAGCCAGGAAAUUAGCCUGGUCCUGCCACAGUUACGGAGGAUCCAGGAAGAGUAGAUCUGCCAAUGAGAAGGUAAGAUAAUUUCAGCAAGCAAGGAUGAAAUGCGCUCCAUCGUGGGGUCUCACCUGGGGCCGUGCCUCGCUGGAUGCAGAGAGCUCAUCUCCUAGGAGCAUUCCCUGCUUGGCCUUCCAGCUAUCCAGGAUGGCAUAUUGCGUCUCAUUAUUCCAGCCUUCUCUUUGUGGCUUUCCCUGCGGUUUUGUUCAGCUGCAUUAUUCUCUGGCGCCGGAAUGCCGUGUUUCUUCGAUCAGAGGCCGGAUCCUACCCUCUGAAAAAAGCAGUACCUUUGACAUGACUGGCCCCCAGCCAGAUGAGGAGACCAGUUGGCACCUCAGUCAAAUACAUUUUUACGCCACAGAGCAGCUCCCCCACACACACUGUGAGCUGCUGGAGGCUGCACAGGUCUUACUUAACAACCUCGGCCGUAUAGCCAACUGGGUCUUGCACAAGCAUCUCCAAGAAGUCACAGCCUUUCUGUUAAAUUCAGUGAGUUUUGGAAUUAAGUUCAUGCCAGAUCCAGGGGGAAAGGAAUGAAUCCCACAGAAAAGCGGUCAGCGCACAUACCACCCUCAUUCCCUAUUGCAUUGUCCGUAUUGUAUGUCAAAACUCUGGUCACGGAGUGAAAAUUCCUGGACACAAUGACAAGACCUGUCACUUCAUCCCUCAUCUGUGUUGGGACAAUGUUGUAAAAAGCUAACACAAGCCACCGAGCACUCCAGCUGAUAACGAAGACCUUUGAUCUUUCUUUGGUGUUUUCUGGGAAUGCUCACUUCUAAAUCACACUCAAAGUGGGGGCAGUGCCGGGGCACCUCUCCUUGAAGCAUAUUAACAUACUGACCUCGGCCUCUUUGUCCUGGAGUCAGGCAUAUGAUAUGGCUAAUGAGUGAGAUCAGCAAUAAAAUACUGGCCAUGGAUGGGAAUAAAGCA